ensembl:lncRNA
CAGAGAGAGGGGAGCUGGAACAUGUUAGGGCCCCCGAAAGCCAAGAUACCCCAGAGCCCAGGAAUCUGAGAAGAGUCCACGUUGAGGGCAGCGUUCGCCUGCGUUCUCUGCCAAGGGGCUGUGGAUUUCGGGACUGAGCACCGUGUCCCGGGACCUCAUCCCCAGGAGGCAGGGCCAUGGGACAGCCCCCAGCGCCAGCCGUGUGGAAUGUGCCACUCUUGGAACUGAGGCUCUCGGUUUUUAAAAUUGGCUUGUAAAUCUCCGUGUAGUUUUCAGGCUUUAGGAAUUUUAUUUUAUCUGGAUUAAAGUCAUGUUCUGCUUUGGCAUAGGAAGGCGUUUAUGACUGUUAAAACAAGAAAUGAAAAAUAUAGGCCUGCAAUCAGCCGGGCUGCCUCCUGCCAGAGUCUAGGGAUUUGUCUUGGGGGCCAGGCUGAAGGUUUGCUGCCCUUCUCCCCGCACUGCUCUGUGUUUCUCCAGAAAGCUGGAGCUGGCUGCCUGGGAGCGGCUGUCGCGAUGGCUGGGAGGGCCUCAGGAACGAAGCCUUUGUCUUUGCUCAGGUGUGUUCUCACAAUGGGGAGCCACGGCCCUCCCCAAGGACCAGCGAGCAAUGGGCGCAUCUCAUUCGCUGCCUGCAUUUGCCCCCGCCCAUCCAAGAGAGCAGAAUCAGAGAGGCAGAAUUCCUUGCAGGAAGAAGAAUCAAUCGCCAAGAGACAAUGGGAUUCCUUUCAACUCACCUUCUCUUCGCUCCAAAUUCCAGAGAUGAGACGAGAGACGGCUUCCGAGGCUGAUAGAGAUGGAUUUUGCCGGGAGAGUGCCAACGUCGCUCCUCCCGCCUCCCGUCGGCCCUCUGCCAAAGUCUUCCCAUCGGACAUCUGGCCCCAGCAGGGAGAAACAGGGACCAAGGCACUUAUUUUGGCUUUGACGUCAGCGAAGGAAGGCUGAGUAAAUUCAUCAUUAGUGCAAAUUAAAAUCCACCAAACCGUAUCUCUCUUCGUUACAUCGCCUGCAUUUCUAGAGCUGACAGAGGUCUCGCUUUCCUUUUGUUUUUGUUUUGCUCUGGAUUAAGGUGUGAUUUUUUUUUAAAAACAGUUAAUUGGAAGAUAAUAAUGCCAGCGAGCUUAUUGUUAAUUAUUUGUAUCUGUACUUAAUACUGAGAAGUGUGCUCUGUUCUCACGAGCUAAUAUUUGGCUUGUCAGAUGUUGUUAGUCGUUGUAAUUAAUGGAGCCCAUAUACAUUUACUGGAGCUGUGGGUAGAGUUAUAGGAACAGCGGGAGAUAUGAAAUUUCUCCACCACCCCGCCCUUAUCCCUAGAAAGAGAACUUUGGGGCGUCGAGUCCUUCUUGUGACAUUCAUUGGUUAUCCGUCUGUAAGACCCUCCAUAUCCUCUCUCUCGGCUCCCUGUUAUUUUCCUUUGUACCAUCAGGGCCAGCUGCAUUGCUUCUGGGGCCCAGUGAAAAACAAAAACAUGGAGGCCGGCCCGUGGCUGAGUGGCUAAGCUCGCGCGCACGCGCACUCUGCUGCAGGCAGCCCAGUGUUUCCUCUGUUCAAAUCCUGGGCGCGGACAUGGCACCACUCAUCCAGCCACGCUGAGGCGGCGUCCCUCAUGCCACAGCUAGAAAGACCCACAACUAAGACUAUACAACUGUGUACCAGGGGGGCUUUGGGGAGAAAAAGGAAAAAAAUAAAAUCUUCAAAAUAAAAUAAAAUAAAACAAAAACGUG